rnacentral:rRNA from 1 species
AGCGGAUGAAGAGAGCUUGCUCUCUGAUUCAGCGGCGGACGGGUGAGUAAUGCCUAGGAAUCUGCCUGAUAGUGGGGGACAACGUUUCGAAAGGAACGCUAAUACCGCAUACGUCCUACGGGAGAAAGCAGGGGACCUUCGGGCCUUGCGCUAUCAGAUGAGCCUAGGUCGGAUUAGCUAGUUGGUGAGGUAACGGCUCACCAAGGCGACGAUCCGUAACUGGUCUGAGAGGAUGAUCAGUCACACUGGAACUGAGACACGGUCCAGACUCCUACGGGAGGCAGCAGUGGGGAAUAUUGGACAAUGGGCGAAAGCCUGAUCCAGCCAUGCCGCGUGUGUGAAGAAGGUCUUCGGAUUGUAAAGCACUUUAAGUUGGGAGGAAGGGCAUUAACCUAAUACGUUAGUGUUUUGACGUUACCGACAGAAUAAGCACCGGCUAACUUCGUGCCAGCAGCCGCGGUAAUACGAAGGGUGCAAGCGUUAAUCGGAAUUACUGGGCGUAAAGCGCGCGUANGUGGUUUGUUAAGUUGAAUGNNAAAGCCCCGGGCUCAACCUGGGAACUGCNUCCAAAACUGGCAAGCUAGAGUAUGGCNNANGGUGGUGGAAUUUCCNGUGUAGCGGUGAAAUGCGUANAUNUAGGAAGGAACACCNGUGGCGAANGNNANCACCUGGGCUAAUACUGACACUGANGUGCGAAAGCGUGGGGAGCAAACAGGAUUAGAUACCCUGGUAGUCCACGCCGUAAACGAUGUCGAC